rnacentral:tRNA from 1 species
GCCGGGAUAGUCUAGUGGUUAUGACGUCUGCCUCACACGCAGAAGGUCGCGAGUUCAAUCCACGUUCCUGGUA